GACGAACGCUGGCGGCGUGCUUAACACAUGCAAGUCGAACGGUAAGGCCCUUCGGGGUACACGAGUGGCGAACGGGUGUGUAACACGUGGGUGAUCUGCCCUGCACUUCGGGAUAAGCCUGGGAAACUGGGUCUAAUACCGGAUAGGACUCCGGACUGCAUGGUCUGGGGUGGAAAGCUUUUGCGGGGUGGGAUGGGCCCGCGGCCUAUCAGCUUGUUGGUGGGGUGAUGGCCUACCAAGGCGACGACGGGUAGCCGGCCUGCGAGGGUAACCGGCCGCACUGGGCCUGAGAUACGGCACAGACUGCUACGGGAGGCAGCAGUGGGGAGUGUUGAACAAUGGGCGCAAGCCUGAUGCAGCGACGCCGCGUGAGGGACGACGGCCUUCGGGUUGUAAACCUCUUUCAGCAUCGACGAAGCGAAAGUGACGGUAGGUGCAGAAGAAGGACCGGCCAACUACGUGCCAGCCGCCGCAGUAA
rnacentral:rRNA from 1 species